rnacentral:lncRNA from 1 species
ACAGAGGCACACUAGCAGUGUUAUUAUAUAUUUAAGCUUUCCUUCAAUCAGCCUAAGCCUUUUCUUUAUCUUCACCAUCUCAUCAGCUCCAAAGUUUACUGCAUUUGGCUCCAAAUUUUGAUUAUCUACCAUUUGAUCACUUCUACUAGGGUAUAUGAGAGCUUCAGUAGUAAACCAUUGCCAAAACUUGCAUUUGUUCAACCUGCAUGACCAAAACAUUGCAUUAGGAUUUUGUGGUGUAGUGGAAACCAUAGCACACGCCUGCAUGCCACACCAACAGUACUUGGGAAUGCAUUUAAUUUUUCUCUGUGGCUGUCCACUGGCUGCAGAACUUGAACUAUAACUUGAUGCCAUUUUAAAUGUGUAGAUGAUGUGUUUCAAUGAAUAGUUAAUCAAGUGAUGUGUGGAUGAUGGUUGAGCAAGUCUUGAGUUUGAAUGAAUGAAUGGUUGAGUGGCUGUAAUGUUUCAAUGUGUUAUGAUGAAUGGUACAGUUAUGAUGUGUUAUGGAUUAUGGUUGUAUGAGGAGGUUUAUAUGUCUGGUCGUAUGAGGAGGUUUAUAUGCCUGGUUGGGAGCAACUUGCAUGGUUGAAUGGCCUCUUCAUGCAUGCUGAUUCUUGUGUUUAUAUGCCCCAAAUUGUAGUCGUUGGCAGCUAACGGCUACAAUAACAAACUGCCAUUUUUUGCUGUUUUUGAGGGUGAAAUUGUUAUUUUUGUUCUGGG